UAUAAUUUAGUUUAAAAAGAAUUUUUGUUUUUGGGGCAAAAGGGUGUGAUUAUAA
rnacentral:tRNA from 1 species